UGCCUACCCCUGAGAUAGAGCCUUCUACUCCCUCUCCCAUAAUGCCUUGCACCAGCCAUGAGACUAGCUAUGUACAGUGGUACCUCUGGAUACGAAGGGGAUCCGUUCCGGAGCCCCGUUCGCAUCCAGAAGCGAACACAACCUGUUUUUGCGCGGGUCACGAUUCGCCGCUUCCACGCAUGCACGUGAUGUCAUUUUGACCGCCUGCGCAUGCGCGAGAGGCAAAACCCGGAAGUAACGCGUUCCGUUACUUCCGGGUCGCCGCGGAGCGCAACCCGAAAGCACUCAACCUGAAGCAACUUCAACCUGAGGUAUGACUGUAUAACUAAGCUGUGUUGCAAAAUGUUGCAGAGGCCUCUGGACAUUCCUUUCUUGAGCAAUCUUUGUCAGUCUUUCUGUGAACUUCCUGCAAACUGAAUUUCACAUCUUCUUUCACCUUACUUCCUCAUUAAAGCAUCAGACUUACAAGAAAUUAGUGCUUUUUCAGGUAAGGCGGAAACAUACUCUUUCUGAAGGAUGUCUUUAUUACUUUAUUGUUGGUUUCUAUAGAGCUAAGGAAGCCGCUAUCAAUGUGUAUCUUUCAAGGAGACAUUGCUUUAUUACUCAGAGAACCUUGGGUUUAUUACCCAAUACACACACAAAUAACCCGAUGUGUGGGAAUUCUUGUACCUCAGUCCUAACAGACUUUCUUGGAAUUUAACAACACUGAUGAUUUGCAGAUACAUUUGCUUAACAGGAAGGGCCAUAAUAAAUUCAUUAAACACAUGUUUUUAGAAAAACAUCCGUACUUCAACUUCUGGCAUCUCCAGGUAGGGCAGAGGAAGACUCCUGUGUGAGUCUUUGCUUUGCUGUGCAGUGUAGACCAGGAACAGGAAACCUCAGCCCUGAGGGCCACCUGCGGCCCUCCAGUUCUCUCUACCUGGUCCUCAGGACUCUCCCCAGCCUACUCCCUCUCUCCAGGCCACACCCCUUGUUGGUCCUGUUCCCCCCCACUUCUCAAGUGCCUUUGCCUGGCUGGAAUUUGCCCUCCCAUUUUCUGGGAUGGAGAAAUGUUGUGGAGCCAGGGAGUUUGGGAUGAAACCUAUUCAAUUAUUUUUAAAACUUAAAUAUCACUUUUCAUUUAUAAACUUUGCAUAAACCUCAAAGCAAUUCUCAAUAUAUACACAUAAAACUAUUACAAUCAUUAAGUAACAACAAUGAAACAUCCAUCAUAUAAUUUCCGCAACUACAGCAACCAGAAGAAGAAAAAAGAUGUUUGCUGUCUUAUUAUGUUUUAUAUGUGCUGGAAGCUGCUCAGAGUGGCUGGGAAAACCCAGCCAGUUGGUUGGGGUAUAAAUAAUAAAAGUAUUGUUGUUGUUUUAGUAGUAGUAGUAGUAGUAGUUGUUGUUGUUGUUGUUAUGUUCCAGACACCAAACUGUUUUUGCACUUGCUCUGCAAACCGGAUUCAACAGGUGCAAACCAUAGUUUACCAGUCUGGACAAAGCAGCAAACAUUAGUUUGUCUGAAACCAGGAUUAGAAGAAAGAAAUUGUCACAUGCCCAGGGCUCAUCACUGUGUGGUUUACAGGAAUCCAGUGCUCCUGAAUUUUUUGAACAGACAAGUUCUAUGAAAAAGGAAUAGGUGAAUGGAAAGGUUAAGGCAAUAAAUACACUGGAAAGAUGUUUUUAUCAUACAGUGUUUAAAAUAAAUAUUUGGCACAAUACAGCCAAAAUUAAUCACUUUUACAGCAGUUUGAUUCUUUGGAAUGAAAUCAAUACGUAUAAAUGUGUCCUGUUACAUUUAAUGUGCUUGGAAAAUGAUUAAUUUUGUCUCGAAUGUUCUCCACUGAUUUCCAGAAAAUCCAUUUAAAAUCUGCAUAUGUUUGAAAUGCACAUGAAGUUCUGUUCACAAGCAAAAUAUUGGAAGUGAAAAGAAGAACAAGGUUUGGGAGGAAAUGGGGGAAUCUGAAGAGUGGAAACUGAUCACAUGUUUCAAUUUACCAAGUAUGGAAACUAUAGUUAAACUGAAAGAAGCAUAUAAAAAUUUGAUCUGGGAAGUCUUGUUUUCUCUAAGGGGCAGAUAUAUAUCCACAUCCAAAUAAUAAAAAGACACUAUUUUCUUUUCAAAGAUCCAUCCUAUCACUCUUUAGUUUAGACAAACUCUCCAUAGGUCUUCAAGAAAGUCUAUUCCAGUGUAUUUGCUUCCCAGUCUCUAGAUGGCAAUGUUGCCUCAGACAUACUCACCACUGAUGCUUUGUCCAUAGAUGCUUUGUUUGUUUGUUCUUCUGAAGGACUCAGUCCUUCCUUAAUAAGAAACUGAUCCUGCCAGGAUUUCUGCACGUGACUGCUUUUGUACACAAGAGUAAUCUCACCAAGCUCGACACAAGUCCUCGCGUGCAUCUGUUUUGACAAGAUCAGGGUUGAAAGUUCUGGACUGACAACCAUGGAGACUAAAUCCUCUGUUCACCCAGAGAGCAGGUGCAGAGGCAGCAACGGCAGAUGCAACACAAGCUUCCUCUUCUUCAUUCUCCAGCAAACCCAACAGUGAGAUUGUGGCUGUAAUUGUUUUUGAGAAUCAGAAAGUACGACAAUUGAGGAAUUAUACCCAGGAGAGAGAAAAAGUGAAGAAUGAGUGACAAGCGAGGUGUUCUGUUGGAAACAAUGCAGAAUAAUGUGAGAUGUGGAAGGAAAGCUUUAGCAAGGGAUCAAGGAUAAUAAUCUAAAAUCAUCACAUCAGUGAUUC